GGAGGCGCUCAAAGGUUCCCUCAGAAUGGUUGGAAAUCAUUCAUAGAGUGUAAAGGCAUAAGGGAGCUUGACUGCGAGACCUACAAGUCGAGCAGGGUCGAAAGACGGACUUAGUGAUCCGGUGGUUCCGCAUGGAAGGGCCAUCGCUCAACGGAUAAAAGCUACCCCGGGGAUAACAGGCUUAUCUCCCCCAAGAGUUCACAUCGACGGGGAGGUUUGGCACCUCGAUGUCGGCUCAUCGCAUCCUGGGGCUGUAGUCGGUCCCAAGGGUUGGGCUGUUCGCCCAUUAAAGCGGUACGCGAGCUGGGUUCAGAACGUCGUGAGACAGUUCGGUCCCUAUCCGUCGUGGGCGUAGGAAAUUUGAGAGGAGCUGUCCUUAGUACGAGAGGACCGGGAUGGACAUACCUCUGGUGUACCAGUUGUCGUGCCAACGGCAUAGCUGGGUAGCUAUGUAUGGACGGGAUAAGUGCUGAAAGCAUCUAAGCAUGAAGCCCCCCU
rnacentral:rRNA from 1 species